CCCGGAAUACGACACGAUCUGGUCGGUAGGGCUGCUCCCGGCUCCAGAGGAGGCGAUAGAGAAGGAAAAGCCGACGAGAGAGGGGCGAGAGAGAGAGAGAGAGAGAGAAGUGACGGGAAGGGAAGGAAGGCGACCACGCUUCCUUUUCCGAUUUCUUUCUUCUCUGUUUUUGAUCUAAUCUUAGGAAGAAGAAGCAUCGUUGACGCUUUUGAUCCAUCGUUCGCUCCCUCCCUCCGUUUGUUGAUCCUAGAAUCGGAACGAGAGGAGUGCUUUCGAUGGCGCCGGGGCAGGGAACGCAGCAGCAGUUCCGGUAUACGCAGACGCCAUCGAAGGUGCUGCACGUCCGGAACCUGCCGUGGGACAGCGCCGAGGAGGAGCUCGUCGCCCUGUGCAGGCCAUUCGGCAAGAUCGUCAACACCAUGUGCAACGUCGGCGCCAACAAGAACCAGGCCUUUGUAGAAUUCGCUGAUCUUAACCAAGCAAUUUCAAUGGUGUCAUACUAUGCUUCUUCAUCCGAGCCUGCCCAAGUUCGUGGAAAAACUGUCUAUAUCCAGUAUUCUAAUAGGCAAGAAAUUACGAAUAACAAGAGUACUGGAGAUGUUCCUGGGAAUGUCUUGCUGGUCACUAUUGAAGGUGUUGAAUCUGGGGAUGUCAGCAUUGAUGUGAUUCAUUUGGUGUUCUCUGCUUUUGGGUUUGUGCAUAAAAUUGCAACAUUUGAAAAAUCUGCUGGCUUUCAGGCACUAAUCCAGUACACAGAUGCGGAGACUGCUGCAAGUGCAAGAAAUGCAUUGGACGGAAGAAGCAUUCCUAGGUACUUACUACUUGAACACAUUACAACUUGCCAUUUGCGGAUCACAUAUUCGGCCCAUACAGAUUUAAGUAUAAAGUUCCAGUCACAUCGUAGCAGGGACUACACAAAUCCCUUUCUUCCUGUGAACCCUUCAGCAAUUGAGGGUUCUGUACAGCCACUGCUUGGUCCUGAUGGAGUGAAAAAGGAGACUGAAAGUAAUGUCCUUUUGGCUUCCAUAGAGAAUAUGCAAUAUGCUGUGACAGUUGAUGUUCUACAUACAGUCUUCUCCACCUUUGGAACUGUGCAGAAGAUUGCAAUUUUUGAGAAAAAUGGUGGCAUGCAAGCAUUGAUACAAUAUCCUGAUGUGACAACUGCUUCAAUUGCCAAGGAAGCUUUGGAGGGACACUGCAUUUAUGAUGGUGGUUAUUGUAAGCUUCAUUUGACAUAUUCUCGUCAUACUGAUCUCAGUGUUAAGGUGCAUAAUGAUAGAGGCAGAGACUACACUGUUCAGGACACUGGUGUACUAAUGACGUCCCAAGCUCCUAGUUUGCCGACCACUACUGGUUGGCAAGUUCAUCCUCAAUCUACAACCACAUAUAUUGGCAAUGAUUUCACAGCUACAGGACAAGUGACAGUUCCGCAUGGCCAAGUGACGACAUGGAAUCCUAGCUUGUCAAGUGGAAGCUUUGCCUCAGCUUCUAACAUGUUCCCCAGUCAGACAUUUGCAACACCUGUUUCCCAUUACCCAGUUUCAACCGUUUCCAGUGCUCCUUCUGGGCUGUUUCAAGCUUCACAGGAGUCAUCUCAAUAUGGUCUUCUGGCAAAUGCACAGCCUGCUGCUGCACCAACCACCCAGCCUCCAUACUACACUACAUAAGCUGCAUCUUCUCAUUUUUUUUAGGCCUCUGGACUCCACAAGUGAAGCUGCCUUGGACAUUUUCAAUAUUCACUCUACCGUCCUGUGCUCUUUCUCAACUUCACCCUCACCUUUAAAUGGACCUCUAAGAUACAGAACUUUGGAGCUGUAGGAAAAUUUCUUAGUAGGAGCCUUAUUAGCUACUCAAUCGUACAACAAUUUGUUUCUUAGGUUGUUUUGCAGAGAAGGAUCGAAGCUGCACUUGAACCAGAAGCAGUAGCUUUGACAUAUCAUCGAGUCUGGAUUAGAGUCGACAAAUUGGUGCGGCUUGCUCGUGAUCUCGAAGCCUCAUUCGUUUCCAUUGUUGACACUAGAAGAUGAUACAGCCGAAGUCCGAAGAAUCCAGCGGUAAACCAAGCUCAUCUUUAACGCUUUAGGGAGAAACCUUUUAUGUCGCAUCUUCUCAUGAUUUCCUCACCUAUAUGCAGUGUUGCGUUCUGCAGUAGCAAUGAAAUGAAGUAUAAUUUCAUUGAUCACAGGAAUGAAUCCUUUACGCUGACCCCAACCAGUUUACAUUUCCUCCCUCCUGUAUGUCAAACUAAAUGCACCAAGAACGACACCAACACA